rnacentral:misc_RNA from 1 species
AACAUCGCGCACCUGCGGGAACCUGCGGAGGGAUCAUUACAGAGUUCGUGCCCUCGCGGGUAGAUCUCCCACCCUUGUGUAUUCUCUACAUCUUGUUGUUUUGGCAGGCCGUUGGUUCGCCAACCACCGGCUCGCGGGCUGGUGCGUGCCUGCCAGAGGACCUCUCAAACUCGGUUUGUUAGUGCCGUCUGAGUACCAUAACAAUCGUUAAAACUUUUAACAAUGGAUCUCAGAUCGGAA